rnacentral:rRNA from 1 species
CCUACGGGGGGCAGCAGUGGGGAAUAUUGGACAAUGGGGGCAACCCUGAUCCAGCCAUGCCGCGUGUGUGAAGAAGGCCCUCGGGUUGUAAAGCACUUUCAGUGAGGAAGAACGCCUGGUGGUUAAUACCCAUCAGGAAAGACAUCACUCACAGAAGAAGCACCGGCUAACUCCGUGCCAGCAGCCGCGGUAAUACGGAGGGUGCGAGCGUUAAUCGGAAUUACUGGGCGUAAAGCGCGCGUAGGUGGCUUGAUAAGCCGGUUGUGAAAGCCCCGGGCUCAACCUGGGAACGGCAGCCGGAACUGUCAAGCUAGAGUGCAGGAGAGGAAGGUAGAAUUCCCGGUGUAGCGGUGAAAUGCGUAGAGAUCGGGAGGAAUACCAGUGGCGAAGGCGGCCUUCUGGACUGACACUGACACUGAGGUGCGAAAGCGUGGGUAGCAAACAGGAUUAGAUACCCCAGUAGUC